CAAAGCGACGAUCAGUAGCCGGCCUGAGAGGGUGACGGCCACAUUGGGACUGAGACACGGCCCAGACUCCUACGGGAGGCAGCAGUGGGGAAUAUUGCACAAUGGGGGAAACCCUGAUGCAGCGACGCCGCGUGAGCGAAGAAGUAUCUCGGUAUGUAAAGCUCUAUCAGCAGGGAAAGAAGAUGACGGUACCUGACUAAGAAGCACCGGCUAAAUAC
rnacentral:rRNA from 1 species